rnacentral:rRNA from 1 species
AUUGAACGCUGGCGGCAGGCUUAACACAUGCAAGUCGAGCGGGGUGAUGGUGCUUGCACUAUCACUUAGCGGCGGACGGGUGAGUAAUGCUUAGGAAUCUGCCUAUUAGUGGGGGACAACAUCUCGAACGGGAUGCUAAUACCGCAUCCGUCCUACGGGAGAAAGCAGGGGAUCACUUGUGACCUUGUGCUAAUAGAUGAGCCUAAGUCGAAUUAGCUAGUUGGUGGGGUAAAGGCCUACCAAGGCGACGAUCUGUAGCGGGUCGGAGAGGACGGAGCGCCACACUGUGACUGGGACACGGCGCAUACUCCUACGCGAGGCGGCAGUGGGGAAUAUUGGACAAUGAGGGGAACCCUGGUCCGGCCAUGCCGCGGGUGGAAAGAAGGCCUUAUGGUUUUAAAGCACUGUGAGCGGGUAUGAGGCUUACAUAGUUAGUGCCUGGGAUAAGUGGACGUUACUCGCAGAAUAAGCGCCGGCUAAGACUGUGCCAGCAGCCGCCGUAACAC